rnacentral:rRNA from 1 species
UACGUAGGGGGCGAGCGUUGUCCGGAAUCAUUGGGCGUAAAGAGCUCGUAGGCGGUUCAGUAAGUCAGGUGUGAAAGCUCCGAGCUCAACUCGGAGAGGCCACCUAUACUGCUGUGACUAGAAUCCAGUAGGGGAGUGUGGAACUCCUGGUGUAGCGGUGAAAUGCGCAGAUAUCAGGAGGAACACCAGCGGCGGAAGGCGGCGCUCUGGGCCGGAACUGACGCUGAGGAGCGAAAGCGUGGGUAGCAAACAGG